AGAGUUUGAUCCUGGCUCAGGACGAACGCUGGCGGCGUGCCUAAUACAUGCAAGUAGAACGCUGAAGAGAGGAGCUUGCUCUUCUUGGAUGAGUUGCGAACGGGUGAGUAACGCGUAGGUAACCUGCCUUGUAGCGGGGGAUAACUAUUGGAAACGAUAGCUAAUACCGCAUAACAAUGGAUGACACAUGUCAUUUAUUUGAAAGGGGCAAUUGCUCCACUACAAGAUGGACCUGCGUUGUAUUAGCUAGUAGGUGAGGUAACGGCUCACCUAGGCGACGAUACAUAGCCGACCUGAGAGGGUGAUCGGCCACACUGGGACUGAGACACGGCCCAGACUCCUACGGGAGGCAGCAGUAGGGAAUCUUCGGCAAUGGGGGCAACCCUGACCGAGCAACGCCGCGUGAGUGAAGAAGGUUUUCGGAUCGUAAAGCUCUGUUGUAAGUCAAGAACGAGUGUGAGAGUGGAAAGUUCACACUGUGACGGUAGCUUACCAGAAAGGGACGGCUAACUACGUGCCAGCAGCCGCGGUAAUACGUAGGUCCCGAGCGUUGUCCGGAUUUAUUGGGCGUAAAGCGAGCGCAGGCGGUUUGAUAAGUCUGAAGUUAAAGGCUGUGGCUCAACCAUAGUUCGCUUUGGAAACUGUCAAACUUGAGUGCAGAAGGGGAGAGUGGAAUUCCAUGUGUAGCGGUGAAAUGCGUAGAUAUAUGGAGGAACACCGGUGGCGAAAGCGGCUCUCUGGUCUGUAACUGACGCUGAGGCUCGAAAGCGUGGGGAGCGAACAGGAUUAGAUACCCUGGUAGUCCACGCCGUAAACGAUGAAUGCUAGGUGUAGGAGGUAUCGACCCCUCCUGUGCCGGAGUUAACGCAAUAAGCAUUCCGCCUGGGGAGUACGGCCGCAAGGCUGAAACUCAAAGGAAUUGACGGGGGCCCGCACAAGCGGUGGAGUAUGUGGUUUAAUUCGACGCAACGCGAAGAACCUUACCAGGGCUUGACAUUGAGUGAAAAGGCUAGAGAUAGUCACCUCCCUUCGGGGACACGAAAACAGGUGGUAGCCAGGACAUAAAGCAGCGGAAAUAUUGCAGGAUCCACCGGUGACGCUUCGUUAUGAGGAGCAGCGCACGG
rnacentral:rRNA from 1 species